rnacentral:rRNA from 1 species
CCUACGGGAGGCUGCCGUGGGGAAUAUUGGACAAUGGGGGCAACCCUGAUCCAGCCAUGCCGCGUGUGUGAAGAAGGCCCUCGGGUUGUAAAGCACUUUCAGUGAGGAAGAACGCCUGGUGGUUAAUACCCAUCAGGAAAGACAUCACUCACAGAAGAAGCACCGGCUAACUCCGUGCCAGCAGCCGCGGUAAUACGGAGGGUGCGAGCGUUAAUCGGAAUCACUGGGCGUAAAGCGCGCGUAGGUGGCUUGAUAAGCCGGUUGUGAAAGCCCCGGGCUCAAUCUGGGAACGGCAUCCGGAACUGUCAAGCUAGAGUGCAGGAGAGGAAGGUAGAAUUCCCGGUGUAGCGGUGAAAUGCGUAGAGAUCGGGAGGAAUACCAGUGGCGAAGGCGGCCUUCUGGACUGACACUGACACUGAGGUGCGAAAGCGUGGGUAGCAAACAGGAUUAGAUACCCUGGUAGUC